rnacentral:rRNA from 1 species
UACGAAGGGUGCUAGCGUUGUCCGGAAUCACUGGGCGUAAAGCGUACGUAGGCGGUUUUCUAAGUCAGGGGUGAAAUCCUGGAGCUCAACUCCAGAACUGCCUUUGAUACUGGAAAGCUUGAGUUCGGGAGAGGUGAGUGGAACUGCGAGUGUAGAGGUGAAAUGCGUAGAUAUUCGCAAGAACACCAGUGGCGAAGGCGGCUCACUGGCACGAUACUGACGCUGAGGUGCGAAAGCGUGGGGAGCAAACAGG